rnacentral:rRNA from 1 species
UACGAAGGGGGGCUAGCGUUGUUCGGAAUCACUGGGCGUAAAGGGCGCGUAGGCGGCCGAUCAAGUCGGGGGUGAAAGCCUGUGGCUCAACCACAGAAUUGCCUUCGAUACUGGUUGGCUUGAGACCGGAAGAGGUAAGUGGAACUGCGAGUGUAGAGGUGAAAUUCGUAGAUAUUCGCAAGAACACCAGUGGCGAAGGCGGCUUACUGGUCCGGUUCUGACGCUGAGGCGCGAAAGCGUGGGGAGCAAAC